rnacentral:rRNA from 1 species
CGAUAGCGUAUAUUAAAGUUGUUGCGGUUAAAAAGCUCGUAGUUGGAUUUCUGUUGGGAACGACCGGUCCGCCCAUUGGGUGUGUAUCUGGCUUGUUCUCGGCAUCUUCUUGGUGAACGUUGCUGCACUUGACUGUGUGGAGCGCUACCCAGGACUUUUACUUUGAGGAAAUUAGAGUGUUUCAAGCAGGCAUAUGCCUUGAAUACAUUAGCAUGGAAUAAUAAGAUAGGACCUCGGUUCUAUUUUGUUGGUUUCUAGAGCUGAGGUAAUGAUUAAUAGGGAUAGUUGGGGGCAUUCGUAUUUAACUGUCAGAGGUGAGAUUCUUGGAUUUGUUAAAGACGGACUACUGCGAAAGCAUUUGCCAAGGAUGUUUUCAUUGA